UACGUAGGGUGCAAGCGUUGUCCGGAAUUAUUGGGCGUAAAGAGCUCGUAGGCGGUUUGUCGCGUCUGCUGUGAAAACUCGGGGCUUAACCCCGGGCCUGCAGUGGGUACGGGCAGACUAGAGUGCGGUAGGGGAGACUGGAAUUCCUGGUGUAGCGGUGAAAUGCGCAGAUAUCAGGAGGAACACCGGUGGCGAAGGCGGGUCUCUGGAGCGCAACUGACGCUGAGACGCGAAAGCGUGGGGAGCAAACAGG
rnacentral:rRNA from 1 species